CAUUUUGAGACAAAAGUGUCAAUUGUCUAUUGUCAAUAGUGUAGCGACGUAUGAAGCACAGUUCACACAGUAGUUACUUUCAAACAAA